CGGGGCGUGGCUCAGUUUGGUAGAGCACCUGAAUGGGGUUCAGGUGGUCAGCGGUUCAAGUCCGCUCGCCCCGACCA
rnacentral:tRNA from 1 species